CGGGCGCCGGGAGCUUUAUUCAGUCGCCCUGACCUCCCAUAGACCUGGGACAGACAUCCCAGCCAGUGUCCUCGCCGCCAAGGAGGACAAAAGCCCGUGAACACGCUCUGUCCCUCUCCGGGAAGAGAGCCC
rnacentral:sRNA from 1 species